CUCACUUCAGUAUCAUAUACUCUAAAAUUGAAUCAACAUAGAAAGAUUAACACAGCCCUUGCUUAAGGAUGACUUGUAAAUUCAUGAAACCUCUCUCUCUCUC